rnacentral:rRNA from 1 species
UACGUAGGAUGCUAGCGUUGUCCGGAUUGACUGGGCGUAAAGCGCACGCAGGCGGGUGCGCGCGUGGGGUGUGAAAUCUGGCCGCUUAACGGCCAGGCGCCAUCCCAUACGGCGCGCCUGGAGCCUUGCAGAGGGCGGUGGAAUUGCCGGUGUAGUGGUGAAAUGCGUAGAGAUCGGCAGGAACACCCAGGGGGAAACCAGCCGCCUGGGCAAGCGCUGACGCUGAGGUGCGAGAGCGUGGGGAGCGAACCGG